rnacentral:rRNA from 1 species
CGCCAGACUCCUACGGGAGGCAGCAGUGGGGAAUAUUGCACAAUGGGGGAAACCCUGAUGCAGCGACGCUGCGUGAGCGAUGAAGUAUUUCGGUAUGUAAAGCUCUAUCAGCAGGGAAGAAAAUGACGGUACCUGACUAAGAAGCCCCGGCUAACUACGUGCCAGCAGCCGCGGUAAUACGUAGGGGGCAAGCGUUAUCCGGAUUUACUGGGUGUAAAGGGAGCGUAGACGGCUGUGCAAGCCAGAUGUGAAAGCCCGGGGCUCAACCCCGGGACUGCAUUUGGAACUGUGUGGCUGGAGUGUCGGAGAGGCAGGCGGAAUUCCUAGUGUAGCGGUGAAAUGCGUAGAUAUUAGGAGGAACACCAGUGGCGAAGGCGGCCUGCUGGACGAUGACUGACGUUGAGGCUCGAAAGCGUGGGGAGCAAACAGGAUUAGAGACCCUUGUAU